rnacentral:rRNA from 1 species
GAUGAACGCUGGCGGCGUGCCUAAUACAUGCAAGUCGAGCGAACAGAUGUGGAGCUUUCUCCUCUGACGUUAGCGGCGGACGGGUGAGUAACACGUGGAUAACCUACCUAUAAGACUGGGAUAACUUCGGGAAACCGGAUCUAAUACCGGAUAAUAUAUUGAACCGCAUGGUUCAAUAGUGAAAGACGGUUUUGCUGUCACUUAUAGAUGGAUCCGCGCCGCAUUAGCUAGUUGGUAAGGUAACGGCUUACCAAGGCGACGAUGCGUAGCCGACCUGAGAGGGUGAUCGGCCACACUGGAACUGAGAAACGGUCCAGACUCCUACGGGAGGCAGCAGUAGGGAAUCUUCCGCAAUGGGCGAAAGCCUGACGGAGCAAGGCCGCGGGAGUGAGGAAGGUCUUCGGAUCGUAAAAAUCUGUUACUAGGGAAGAACAAAUGUGUAAGAAACUAUGCAAGUCUUGACGGUACCUAAUCAGAAAGCCACGGCUAACUACGUG